AGGGUAGUACAGUAACUUGAUCUUCCUUUUCUCUGCAUCUCAACUCUCUUCUUCGUGAACACACGCACCCUCUUCACCUCCUCCACGAAUUCUGAAACACCACCACCAUGAAAGAGACACAGCGGCUAUGACAACUCUGAGACCUAACACCAUAUUUCAAUCUAGGUUAGUCAAUUUUGAAUCAAACUAUAAUCUGAUUCUUAUUUAAUUUUGGGAAUUUCAAUCACUCAUUUUUUGACCUAACUUUUUAGUUUCGCCUUCGCAAUUUCAAACGUUUUUAAAAUUGGACCUUACAGAAAUUUGUGAACUUCAAUUUCCCUUUGGGUUUUUGGUUCAGACUAUACAUCUUUCGAUAAUUUGUGAACAAUGGUUUGGAGAACAGCUUUCAAGCUACAUAAAUGCUUCGGUUGAAGAUCAGCUUUUCUUGACAGUUUGAAUUCUAGAACUGGGGGUUUUAUCCCCCUGAAUCAGUAAUGGAAAGCAAGGAAGUCUUCGUUCCCCGUCAUAGCCCUAGAAUCACAGGGCAAGAUCGAGUUCGGGAGUUGAUAGAAACGUCAAUCGCAGAGCAAGCUCGAGUUAGAGAGAAGCCGGAUAUGAAAAAUGAAAGGAAAAGACAAUGUUGCCAUGAAUUAGACUCACAUCAAAGUUCUAAUCUGCUACAGCAGCGUCGAUUUCUUGAAAGAGCCAAACAAAGCUCAAUGACAAUACAUGAAAGGGAAGCUUUAAGUUGAUCAUGAUGGAGAUAUAAAAUCCUGAUAAGACUGUUAUAGGUGGAGUUCACAAAACAUUUUAUAUGAAACAACAAAUAGCAAAAUGCAUCAGAUAGCCAGUCACAAAAUGAUUUCUGCUGGGUCAGCAGUUUCUUAUGACCAUGAUGGCAUCUACUAGGGAGGUGUUGCAGACUUGCUUCACUAGAAUGACCCACUGGUGGCGGAGGCGCAUGCUUUUAGGCUGGGCAGUAAUCUCGCAAAGUCCUCAAAUGUUCAAAACCUCAUUUUGCAAGGAGGACUCAUUCAGGGAACUUCUGUCUUUCGUACCACAAUAAGAGGCUGUUAAACGUCAAGUCUGUGCUUCAAGACUGUAGCAUAUAUUGUCAGGUACAAAUUCAGAUGUCAUGGGUGAUGGUAACUUCUCUGGAUUGUUUUUUGGUUUGUCAUGUGGAAAUGCAGAGGAGGCGGGACAUAACCUAUUUCUCUAACAUUGUUAAUUUUUUAUCGACCGGGACAGGGGUUCAUACUGUGUAAGCAUUUUGUUGUUUUUGGGUGUAGUAACAUUCUUGGUUUACUGGCAUGGUAAGUAUCAAUAUAGUAAAUAACUACAUUUUCUUGAGCAUGUUUGAAUUUCGGACCUGCUUCUUAUAUUCAGGAAACUCAUCCACUAGCAUAGGGUUAUAUGAAUAAGAGAAGUGUGGCCAAGAAUUGGAUUUAGAGUGCUUUUGUUAAUUAGUCUCGUAUGAGCUUAUCAAGUCUUGUUGUACAAAGCAUUUCAUUCGUUAUUAUAAGUUUAGGAGCCAUGUACAAAACUAUUUUAACAGUACAAUGUUUUAAUUCCAGGAAGCAACUAAUCAUAACGACAAGUUGGCAGGUCAUCACUUGAUGUAGUACUGCGCUUCUCAUGCUGGGAAACAGCACAUGCUCCAUUUUUAUCCAUUGGACCUUCAUUUAGUGCAAGGGAGUAUCUUAAUGUCAUGAAACUGAAAUUAGUCACAUCUACUGCAACACAUUAUUGUAAAUGGUAUUCUGAAUUUAAGUUACACAGUACUAACUACUAAGCUACUUAAUAUUUUGUCGAAUCUGUUGGAAACUACCAAUAGUUGGUGGUAUUGAUCUAGGUGUGUAUCCAUGGUAUCAGAAAAUGUUAAUAAGUUCUAUUUUAUUUGGAACA